GUGCUUACUUCGACAGCACGUAGAAUAACAAUGAAAUAAUACAGAGAAGAUUAGCAUGGCCCCUGCACAGGAUGACAAGCAAAUCUGUGAAACAUUUUU
rnacentral:snRNA from 1 species